UACGGGGGGGGCAAGCGUUGUUCGGAAUUACUGGGCGUAAAGGGCUCGUAGGCGGCCAACUAAGUCAUACGUGAAAUCCCUCGGCUUAACCGGGGAACUGCGUCUGAUACUGGAUGGCUUGAGUUCGGGAGAGGGAUGCGGAAUUCCAGGUGUAGCGGUGAAAUGCGUAGAUAUCUGGAGGAACACCGGUGGCGAAAGCGACUUCCUGGCCUGUUCUUGACGCUGAGGCGCGAAAGCUAGGGGAGCAAACGGGG
rnacentral:rRNA from 1 species